rnacentral:rRNA from 1 species
UUCGUCCAAGUGAAGUAGAGGACAGUGGCGGACGGGUGAGUAACGCGUGAGGAACCUGCCUUUCAGAGGGGGACAACAGUUGGAAACGACUGCUAAUACCGCAUGACAUAUAGAUGUCGCAUGGCCCAUGGAAGAAAAGGUGGCCUCUACCUGUAAGCUAUCGCCUGAAGAGGGGUUUGCGUCUGAUUAGCUGGUUGGAGGGGUAACGGCCCACCAAACCUUCGAUGGAUAGGGGUUCUGAGAGGAAGGUCCCCACAUUGGAACUGAGACACGGUCCAAACUCC